UGGACAGAUUACUGUAUUUGACUGUAUUCAUGGCGUGAAAAAGGGGAUUACACUGUUUUUAAACGGAAAGUGUAUCAAUUAACAUAAUAGACUUCU
rfam:Nicotiana sylvestris Nsyl_contig122275, whole genome shotgun sequence.